rnacentral:rRNA from 1 species
GAUGAACGCUGGCGGCGUGCUUAACACAUGCAAGUCGAACGGAAAGGCUCCUGCUUGCCGGGGUACUCGAGUGGCGAACGGGUGAGUAACACGUGGAUGAUCUGCCCUGCACUUCGGGAUAAGCCUGGGAAACUGGGUCUAAUACCGGAUAGGACCACAUUUUGGAUGGUGUGGUGGAAAGUUUUUCGGUGUGGGAUGAGCUCGCGGCCUAUCAGCUUGUUGGUGGGGUAAUGGCCUACCAAGGCGUCGACGGGUAGCCGGCCUGAGAGGGUGUACGGCCACAUUGGGACUGAGAUACGGCCCAGACUCCUACGGGAGGCAGCAGUGGGGAAUAUUGCACAAUGGGCGCAAGCCUGAUGCAGCGACGCCGCGUGGUGGAUGACGGCCUUCGGGUUGUAAACUCCUUUCGCUAGGGACGAAGCGCAAGUGACGGUACCUGGAGAAGAAGCACCGGCUAACUACGUG